AUUGAACGCUGGCGGCAGGCCUAACACAUGCAAGUCGAGCGGAGCGGCGGACGGGUGGGUAAUGCCUAGGAAUCUGCCUGGUAGUGGGGGAUAACGUCCGGAAACGGGCGCUAGUACAGUAUACUAUGAGAUGAGCCUAGGUCGGAUUAGCUAGUUGGGGGGGUAAAGGCCUACAAAGGCGACGAUCCGUAACUGGUCUGAGAGGAUGAUCAGUAACACUGGAACUGAGACACGGUCCAGACGCCUACGGUAGGCAGCAGUGGGGAAUAGUGGACAAUGGGCGAAAGCCUGAUCCAGUCAUGCCGCGUGUGUGAAGAAGGUCUUCGGAUUGUAAAGCACUUUAAGUUGGGAGGCGUUACCAACAGAAUAAGCACCGGCUAACUUCGUGCCAGCAGCCGCGGUAAUAC
rnacentral:rRNA from 1 species